CGAAAAGUCGUCUCAGUUCGGAUUGAGUCUGCAACUCGACUCCAUGAAGCUGGAUUCGCUAGUAAUCGCACAUCAGCCAUGGCGCGGUGAAUACGUUCCCGGGCCUUGUACACACCGCCCGUCAAGCCAUGGAAGCCGGGGGUGCCUGAAGUGCGUGACCGCAAGGAGCGCCCUAAGGUAAAACCGGUGACUGGGCUAAGUCGUAACAAGGUAGC
rnacentral:rRNA from 1 species